GAAAUUAAUUGAAGAAAAUUCGAAUUCAAGAAGGGGUUUGAAGAAGUGAGGUAUAUGAAACAAAUUUGAGGUUGGAAUUGCAAAUCCCCAAUUCAAUUAUCGACAAAAUUAGGGCUGUGUGAACGAGGGGUUAUGACGAUCAAGUCACAUGGUUGGAAAGCUUGGGAAGUCAGCUUUCCAGUGGUGGUGGCCUCCAGCGGUG
rnacentral:lncRNA from 1 species